UGCUAAUACCCGAUGUGCCGAAAGGUGAAAGAUUUAUCGCCAGAAGAUGAGCUCGCGUCCGAUUAGCUAGUUGGUAGAGUAAGAGCCUACCAAGGCGACGAUCGGUAGCUGGUCUGAGAGGAUGACCAGCCACACUGGGACUGAGACACGGCCCAGACUCCUACGGGAGGCAGCAGUGGGGAAUUUUCCGCAAUGGGCGAAAGCCUGACGGAGCAAGACCGCGUGAGGGAGGAAGGCUCUUGGGUUGUAAACCUCUUUUCUCUGGGAAGAAGCUCUGACGGUACCAGAGGAAUCAGCAUCGGCUAACUCCGUGCACAGCAGCCGCGGUAAUACGGAGUGAUGCAAGCGUUAUCCCGGAAUUAUUGUCGCGUAAAGCGGCAAAAUUUGGCCGUUCAAGCUCUGCCGUUAAAACCAGUGGCUCAACCACUGACAGGGCGGUGGAAACUGAAUAGCUGAGAGUGUGGUAGGGGUAGAGGGUAAUUCCGCAGUGUAGCGUGUGAAAUGCGCUAGAGAUUGGGAAGAACACCGGUGGCGAAAAGCCCUCUGCUGGACCACAACUGACAUCUGUACAUACCGAGCUAGUCUGCCUAGU
rnacentral:rRNA from 1 species